GAUGAACGCUAGCGGCAGGCUUAAUACAUGCAAGUCGAGGGGCAGCGCAGUGUAGCAAUACAUGGGCGGCGACCGGCAAACGGGUGCGGAACACGUACGCAACCUACCCAUAACUGAUGAAUAGCCCUCCGAAAGGAGGAUUAAUACAUCGUAACAUAAUGAAGUGGCAUCACUUUAUUAUUAUAGCUCCGGCGGUUUUGGAUGGGCGUGCGCCUGAUUAGGUAGUUGGCGGGGUAAUGGCCCACCAAGCCUGCGAUCAGUAACUGGUGUGAGAGCACGACCAGUCACACGGGCACUGAGACACGGGCCCGACUCCUACGGGAGGCAGCAGUAAGGAAUAUUGGUCAAUGGACGCAAGUCUGAACCAGCCAUGCCGCGUGAAGGAUGAAGGUCCUCUGGAUUGUAAACUUCUUUUAUAUGGGACGAAACCUCUUAUUCUUAAGAGACUGACGGUACCAUAGGAAUAAGCACCGGCUAACUCCGUGCCAGCCGCCGCAGUAAUAC
rnacentral:rRNA from 1 species